GGACCAGUAGCUCAGUGGUAGAGCACUCCAGCAAUGCAUGGAAGGUCCUAGGUUCGAGUCCUAACUGGUCCA
rnacentral:tRNA from 1 species